UACGGAGGGUGCAAGCGUUAAUCGGAUUUAUUGGGCGUAAAGGGCGCGUAGGCGGGAAAGAAAGUCAGACGUGAAAGCCCGGAGCUCAACUCCGGAAUGGCAUCUGAAACUUCUUUUCUAGAGGAUAGGUGGAGAAAACGGAAUUCCACAUGUAGCGGUGAAAUGCGUAGAUAUGUGGAAGAACACCGGUAGCGAAGGCGGUUUUCUAACUUAGACCUGACGCUGAGGCGCGAAAGCUAGGGGAGCAAACAGG
rnacentral:rRNA from 1 species